rnacentral:rRNA from 1 species
UGGUCAUCCGAGUUGUAAUCUAGAGAAGUGUUACCCGUGUCGGACCGUGUACAAGUCUCCUGGAAUGGAGCGUCAUAGAGGGUGAGAAUCCCGUCUUUGACACGGACUACCGAGGCUUUGUGGUAUGCUCUCAAAGAGUCGAGUUGUUUGGGAAUGCAGCUCAAAAUGGGUGGUAAAUUCCAUCUAAAGCUAAAUAUUGGCGAGAGACCGAUAGCGAACAAGUACCGUGAGGGAAAGAUGAAAAGAACUUUGGAAAGAGAGUUAAACAGUACGUGAAAUUGCUGAAAGGGAAACGCUUGAAGUCAGUCGCGUUAGUCGGAAAUCAGCCUUGCUUUUGCUGGGUGUAUUUUCUGGUUGACGGGCCAGCAUCAGUUUUGACCGGUGGAAAAAGUCUAGGGGAAUGUGACAUCUUCGGAUGUGUUAUAGCCUCUGGUCGUAUACAUCGAUUGGGACUGAGGAACUCAGCACUUGUGCUUAGGAUGCUGGCAUAAUGGCUUUAAUCGACCCUCUUUGAAACGCCCACCAAGGAGUCUAACAUGCCUGCCAGUGUUUGGGUGGGAAACCCGACGCGCUAAUGAAAGUGAAAGUUGAGAUCCUUGUCAUGGGGAGCAUCGACGCCCGGACCAGAAGUUUUCUGACGGCCCUGCGGUAGAGCAUGUAUGUUGGGACCCGAAAGAUGGUGAACUAUGCCUGAAUAGGGUGAAGCCAGAGGAAACUCUGGUGGAGGCUCGUAGC